rnacentral:rRNA from 1 species
GACGAACGCUGGCGGCGUGCUUAACACAUGCAAGUCGAACGGAAAGGCCCUGCUCUUGUGGGGUGCUCGAGUGGCGAACGGGUGAGUAACACGUGAGUAACCUGCCCUUGACUUUGGGAUAACUUCAGGAAACUGGGGCUAAUAUCGGAUAGGAGCUCCUGCUGCAUGGUGGGGGUUGGAAAGAUUCGGCGGUUGGGGAUGGACUCGCGGCUUAUCAGCUUGUUGGUGGGGUAGUGGCUUACCAAGGCUUUGACGGGUAGCCGGCCUGGGAGGGUGACCGGCCACAUUGGUACUGAGAUACGGCGCAGACUCCUACGGGAGGCAGCAGUGGGGAAUAUUGCACAAUAGGCGGAAGCCUGAUGCAGCAACGCCGCGUGCGGGAUGACGGCCUUCGGGUUGUAAACCGCUUUCGCCUGUGACGAAGCGUGAGUGACGGUAAUGGGUAAAGAAGCACCGGCUAACUACGUG